CGCUCCCUGUGGUGUUCGACAGGUCGUUAAUUCUCUGAACCAAUGUCACUCACCCGGUUGCGGACCCAAGCAGCGCUUUUGUGCGCGUCCCAUGCGGAUGUACCUUCGGCGCUCGGAACGCGACCACUCUUGGACCCCAGGUUCAAGAUGCCCGGCCUGACGGCAUUUGCGGGGGGCAC
rnacentral:other from 1 species